rnacentral:rRNA from 1 species
UACGGAGGGAGCUAGCGUUGUUCGGAAAUACUGGGCGUAAAGCGCACGUAGGCGGCGCAGCAAGUCAGGGGUGAAAUCCCGGGGCUCAACCCCGGAACUACCCUUGAAACUGCAGUGCUAGAAUUCUGGAGAGGCGAGUGGAAUUCCGAGUGUAGAGGUGAAAUUCGUAGAUAUUCGGAAGAACACCAGUGGCGAAGGCGGCAUCCUGGACCGACACUGACGCUGAGGAGCGAAAGCCAGGGGAGCGAACGGG